CUUUGCGACACGAGUCCCCAUCCGAUUUGUCUCGCGCACGCGCUCUCUGCUUAAUUAAAAUUCAUUUCACGACGCUGUCCGAUUUGUUCUGCGCAUGUCCAAUGUUUUACGACACACGAGAAAAAAAGUUACCACGGGAUUUUAAUUUCCCGGUCUGCAUUAACAAAUAGAACUUUCGCCAUUCGAGUGAGAAGGAGAAAGAAGAAAGCUGUAGAGAAUAGGAGCAUAUUGAAUUUUUCUCCUGGUAGCAGAAUAAUUUUCACUUCUUGAAAAAAUGAAGACUUUUCAAUUUUACAACGACUUGAAAGAAUAUCUUUUACGGGAAGAAUUUAGCAACAAUUUAACGGUCAGAGAGCGAAGUGAAAUACGACGUGUGUCCGUGAAUUUUAUGAUUAAAGUCCAUCACCCAUGCCCUGGCUGCUCUACAGGGUGUAUCAGGACAGGAGGCAGAAGACUUAUUUCUUGGUGGCCCAGAAUACAGUAUCAGUGAAGUGGAAGAAUUUAACUGAAAGAUAGGGCAGCAAUUAAAGAAGGAGGGAAUGCUGUGAUAUCUGUUAGAAUAGAAGAUGAUGCUACUGCCCAGUGCUUCCAGAAUCCUUCAUUUGAGUCUUGGGUCUGAAUCUACUGCGUCAUUGCCAAGUAUUCUGGGGUAAUGUAUCUUGUUUUGUUUACAUUUUGUUUUUCUCCAUAUUCCAAGCUCAUUUACUUGACCUUAGCUUUAAUAAACUGGAUGGCUGUCUCCUUCACAAUUGAUUUUAAAGUACUAUACUAUUCAUUACAUAAAAAGCUCUGAACAGUUUAGUCCCUUCCUGUAUUUGGUACUGUCUCUCCCCCAACACUCCUCAGUGUAAUCUUUAAUCCCCAACCACUAAUUUGCUUAUGAAAGAACUGGUGAAGCAGCUUGCACAUGUACACCAAAAAUAUAGAAUGCCGGCUAUAAAUGAAAAACCUUUCAAAUACUUUUAAAACUCCAUUUUUAAACUUCACCUCUGCUUAAUUCCCAUUUCUAUC